AUGCGCUGUCGUGGCCCGCCUCCGACUGCUUCAGCAAGCCAAGAAACUGGAACGCGCCCAUUCCCGGCGACCUCGGCAUCUCCAUCGAUGAUGAAAUCUUGCGAGCUUGUGGCUCGUUAUACUGAGUUGGAGAACAAGCAUAUCCAGCUCGAACUUGAUUUGAACCUUGUCCAGGAGAACUUCACGAAGGCGAAGGAGGAGGCAAAAGAUAAACUGAAGGAGGCUCGAAAGAAGAAGGACCUUGACCUCGUCGAGGCGCAGAAAGCGGCUUUGGACAAGACGAAGCUCGCAGAAGAAAAGCUGGCUUCAAUCAGCAAACUUGAAGAGGAGAAUACCAAUCUGAAAGCUGCUCUCAACACGGCCAACAAGGAGGUCAGUCGACUGAAGAAUGACAAACCCUAA
rnacentral:rRNA from 1 species